UACGAAGGGGGCUAGCGUUGCUCGGAAUCACUGGGCGUAAAGCGCACGUAGGCGGCUCUUUAAGUCAGGGGUGAAAUCCCAAGGCUCAACCUUGGAACUGCCUUUGAUACUGGGGAUCUCGAGUCCGGAAGAGGGGAGUGGAACUGCGAGUGUAGAGGUGAAAUUCGUAGAUAUUCGCAAGAACACCAGUGGCGAAGGCGGCUCACUGGUCCGGUACUGACGCUGAGGUGCGAAAGCGUGGGGAGCAAACAGG
rnacentral:rRNA from 1 species